UACAGAGGUCCCAAGCGUUGUUCGGAUUCACUGGGCGUAAAGGGUGCGUAGGUGGUGAGGUAAGUCGGAUGUGAAAUCUCGGAGCUUAACUCCGAAACUGCAUUGGAAACUACCUUGCUCGAGGGUUGGAGGGGGGACUGGAAUUCUCGGUGUAGCAGUGAAAUGCGUAGAUAUCGAGAGGAACACCAGUGGCGAAGGCGAGUCCCUGGACAACUCCUGACACUGAGGCACGAAAGCUAGGGGAGCAAACAGGAUUAGAUACCCUGGUAGUCCUAGCCGUAAACGGUGCACGUUUGCUGUAAAAGGAAUCGACCCCUUUUGUGGCGUAGCCAACGCGUUAAACGUGCCGCCUGGGAAGUACGGUCGCAAGAUUAAAACUCAAAG
rnacentral:rRNA from 1 species